rnacentral:rRNA from 1 species
GAGGUGUUGGCCCUCACCAAAGCCAAUUUCCCCAAACUAGUCUUUUUAAGUGAGACUAGGCAAGAUGUCGUUAAGAUGGAGAAGCUCAAGUGGAGGCUAGGCCUAAAAGGUUUCCACGGUGUCAGUAGUAAUGGAAGGAGCGGUGGUUUGGCUUUGUUUUGGGAUGAAUCUCUUAAGGUGACAGUU